AGGAUGUGCGCAUGCGCUAAAAAUCUGUCAUGUUCUCUGCGACGAUUUCAGAGCUAGUGUUCACCGCUCACUAGCCGACGAUAAAAUCGGCGACUCUAGCCAAUUAGAUUGCUUCCAGAGAUCACGUGCUUUUCUCUCUCAUUUUGGAAACAUGGCGCUUUUUCGUUGGAGCGAAAAUCAAAUUUUUCAAUUGAUUGAUUUUUAUAGAGACCAUGCUGUGUUGUGGGACACAAAUAACAUAAAUUAUAAAAAUAAAAAGUUAAAGGAUUCCCUUAUUUUGGACUUAAGCACACAAAUAUGCGUUCCAGAAAAUGAAAUUAAAAAAAAAAAAUGGAGUAAUCUGCGUACUCAAUUUACAAAGGAGAAACAUAAAAGAAAAAAAAAAUUAUACAUCUGGUGCAAGCACUGCAAUGCAGUACAAAUCGGCAUGGCAAUUUUACACAUCGUUACAAUUUUUAAGUGAUGCCGUGUCCUUAAGGAAUACUGUGACUUCUUUGGUAAGCCAUUACUUUUUAAAUUUAUAUAAUUUGGCUUAUAAAGUAAAUAAUUUCCCUUUACUAUUUGAAAAUUUAUAGAAUUGUUUUUAAUAUAGGCAAAACUUUAACAGUUUUUGUGAUAAAUAAAAUAAUAUUGUUAUACAUAGUUAGCUGUGUAAAUUAUAUUAGCCAAAUGUGCUAAAAUCUGUCGACCAUGAGCAUAACAAUACUUUAGGCAACCAUGCUCAUAAACAUUCCUUCAGUCAAGCAACAUUACCCUCAUUCUUUUUCAUUUAUAAAAAUUUGCCAAACUUGAGGUGGUUACGCUAAUAUGUUAAGUACUAAAAAAUAAAACACUUAUGAAUUUGCAAAAUGCUUCUCUAACUUUUAGCGUUAUUCUUUUCUCAAUGUACACAGUGAUCUGUUUUCACUUAAAAAACCAAUAAAUUGCAUAAACUUGUACUGCACAUCAACUGUUUACCAAACACAUCUCAUCGCUGUUUGCGUUAACAGUUUUGUGACAAAAUACUAUAUUCUGCAGAAUUUUUACUGCAGUUUCUUCCAUUGCUGGCAGAUUCCACAAGUGAUAUUAUAAAAGUAAGUUAAAAGUUCCCAAGUCCCCAAAAAAAUUACGAUGUCUGUCAAAAUCAUUAGAAUUCCAAAUACAACAAAAAUAACACAACAAUUGAAACAUUGCUUGACUGAAGGAUUUUUAUGUGCAGAGUAUGGCAAUUUUUAUUAAGGUGGUUGAGAUAAUAUGCGACUACCUCUAAUUUAAAAAUAUUAAUAGAGAAACAUGAAUUCUUAUUGCAUUUUAAGUAAUUAUUACUAUCAAAAUCUUACUCAUAUUGUUCAAGUUUUUACAAGUAAAUGAAGUCCAACCCCGCUUCACAUUGAAAAGUUAUAAAAAUAUGGGAUGUACAUGCACAGAUACUGUUCUUUUAAAAACACUCAAAUUAUUUCUUUUUACUGUAGUAAUUAUUAGCUUUGCUUUCUUCUCAG